GGAGAACAGCCCGGCCACCAUUGGCUAAAGCUUUUAACAGGAGAACAGCCCGGCCACCAUUGGCUAAAGCUUUAAACAGGAGAACAGCCCGGCCACCAUUGGCUAAAGCUUUUAACAGGAGAACAGCCCGGCCACCAUUGGCUAAAGCUUUUAACAGGAGAACAGCCCGGCCACCAUUGGCUAAAGCUUUUAACAGGAGAACAGCCCGGCCACCAUUGGCUAAAGCUUUAAACAGGAGAACAGCCCGGCCACCAUUGGCUAAAGCUUUAAACAGGAAAACAGGGCAUGAUAAUUCAUCUUCCGAAAGGACUUCUUUGAGAAAAUAAAUGGCUCUGUACAUUGCUGAGUCAAGUGAGGAUGAGUUUGUGUCUUUUCAUGUUGUAGUCUUUGUCACAUCAGUAGGUCUAGUCUUUUUAAAUGGUUGACUAUGAAUUUCAUUGUCAUCAUAUGAGGAGAUGGUGGAUAUUUAGAGGAAUACACACCUGAUACAUUGUUAGUCAAGUGGGAAAAAAGGGGUUAUGUAGUUUUAUCUGGAAAAUAUUAAAUGCCUUGGUCAUUUACUGCCUUUGUUAUUUACUGCCUUGGUUAUUUACUGCCUUGGUCAUUUACUGCCUUGGUUAUUUACUGCCUUAAUCAUUUACUGCCUUAGUCAUUUACUGCCUUGGUUAUUUACUGCCUUGUUCAUUUACUGCCUUGUUCAUUUACUGCCUUGGUCAUUUACUGCCUUGUUCAUUUACUUCCUUGGUCAUUUACUGCCUUGGUUAUUUACUGCCUUAGUCAUUUACUGCCUUGGUUAUUUGUGAUGUGAUGGGUUAUAUGCAGCCCUCCUGUUCUCUGAAGCAGACAUGUCUGUCCACCAGUCAGCUGUAUAGGCCCUGCUGUACCGGAAUCCUCUAGUGCUUCUUCAAGGAUUGAUUUACUUCCCCUGCCUUCCAUUGACUGUAGAGGAACCAACCCUGAUACCAAAAUCAAUAACUACUCUAGGAAAUGGCUUCCUGAAAUCCCUCAAGCAGCUGAUUGGUCGACUCCAGGGCUAAUUGGAGAGCUGACCCCGCCCCCUCGUCAAGACACAGCUGUCUCCAAUUACCCAUUCCUUCAGAAGCUAUAUAAAAACCAGUGUUCUGUUCAGAAAAAAAGAUUCUCUUUUUUUGUAGAGGAUUUUGCUGGAGGUAAAUUUGCUAGAGAGAUAUUUUGUAGAGGAUUUUGCUAGAGGUUGAUUUUGCUGGGAGUUCAUUGCUGAGAGUUGGUAUGUUUUGUGAGUUUGUUGCUCAGAUAGAACUUAUUUGAUGUCCUUUGUCUCUUAGUUUGUUUGUGAAAUUGUUUAAUAUUCUGUUUCAUUUGUUCCCAGGGGGGAAGGGGAAGGCACCUAGGGAGUGCUUAGGCAAGAGGCCCGCGGGCAUACAUAUACCCGUAGCAUAUUCGCUGUCUAGGCACACUAGGUAAGACCUGGGCGGACCACCCCUUGUAUUUUGGUUAGGGCACCAGGUGGUGCUAAAUUAGGUAAGUAGUGGGUAGGCAGGUAAGAUAGAGAGGGGGGCUUUGAGAUUUACUUUCUUUGCUUUGGUUCUGUCCAGCCCCUUUUCCCCCAUAUUACCGUGUAAAGGAAUAAAGUCCUUGUAAUCGGUACCACA
ensembl:lncRNA